rnacentral:rRNA from 1 species
UACGGGGGGAGCAAGCGUUGUUCGGAUUUACUGGGCGUAAAGGGCGCGUAGGCGGUCAGCACAAGUCAGUUGUGAAAUCUCCGGGCUUAACUCGGAAAGGUCAACUGAUACUGUGCGACUAGAGUGCAGAAGGGGCAACUGGAAUUCUCGGUGUAGCGGUGAAAUGCGUAGAUAUCGGGAGGAACACCGGUGGCGAAGGCGGGUCUCUGGGCCGACAUUGACGCUGAGGAGCGAAAGCGUGGGGAGCGAACAGG